rnacentral:lncRNA from 1 species
CUGGGUACAGCCCCGCCUCUCCUGGGUAUAGCCCUGCUUCACCUGGUUAUAGCCCCAGCUCACCAACAUAUAGUCCAAGCUCUCCAGGAUAUAGUCCUAGUAGCCCUACAUAUUCACCGACAAGUCCAUCCUACUCCCCUACCUCCCCCAGCUACAGCCCCACCUCCCCCAGCUACAGCCCCACCUCCCCAAGCUACAGCCCGACCUCCCCAAGCUACAGCCCCACCUCACCUGCCUACAGCCCCACCUCACCUGCUUACAGCCCCACCUCUCCGUCCUACAGCCCCACCUCUCCAUCCUACAGCCCGACCUCUCCGUCCUACAGCCCGAGCUCCCCGUCCUACAGCCCAACCUCCCCAUCCUACAGUCCAACCUCCCCAUCAUACAGCCCAACCUCACCUUCAUACAGUCCAACUUCUCCAUCAUAUAGUCCUACUUCUCCUGCAUACAGUCCCACAUCGCCGAGCUACAGUCCCACAUCUCCAAGCUAUAGUCCUACAUCUCCAAGCUACAACCCUUCAUCUGCAAAGUACAGCCCCUCCCUGGCAUAUUCCCCGAGCAGUCCAAGACUAUCACCAUCCAGCCCGUACAGUCCGACAUCCCCCAGUUACAGGCAAG